rnacentral:rRNA from 1 species
GACGAACGCUGGCGGCGUGCCUAACACAUGCAAGUCGAGCGGAGGCGCCUGAAGAGCAAUCGGAGGGUGUCUGAGCGGCGGACGGGUGAGUAACGCGUGAGCGAUCUGCCUUUCACAGGGGGAUAACGCAGCGAAAGCUGCACUAAUACCGCAUGAGACCACGGUACUGAUGGUACAGGGGUCAAAGGAGAGAUCCGGUGAGAGAUGAGCUCGCGUCCGAUUAGGUAGUUGGUGAGGUAACGGCCCACCAAGCCAAUGAUCGGUAGCCGGCCUGAGAGGGUGGACGGCCACAUUGGAACUGGGAGACGGUCCAAACGCCUACGGGAGGCAGCAGUGGGGAAUAUUGGGCAAUGGGGGAAACCCUGACCCAGCAACGCCGCGUGAGGGAAGAAGGUUUUCGGAUUGUAAACCUCUGUUCUUGGAGAAGAGGAGAAGACGGUAUCCAAGGAGGAAGCCCCGGCUAACUACGUGCCAGCCGCCGCAGUAA